CAGUUCUGCCAGAUCCCGCGAGCAGUGCGUCGCACCCCCCGAUGUGGUUCAUCCAUGGCCACCUCGCGCGAUCUCCGCGAGCAGGUCAACUUUGUGCUGGACCUCCUUGGGUGGGCAGGUGGACUGCACGGCGCAUGGCUAGCGGUGGUGCUCAGGUGGCGUCUCAUGCAACUCCUUCCUGUACCGGCUUCGUGCCCAGUGCGGCUCGGUUGGCGCUGCCAUGCAGCUCGGGAGUGCAGCUCGCAUGGACGUGUAAUGUGGAAACAUGUGUGAAGGAGAAAAAAAAGGAUAUCAUUGUUUUUCUGAAGUUCGGUUUUAUUGUUUGAGAAAACACUUGUGUAUGAUGCGAGCUGGCUGUGUGCUAACAUUUGUCGAGAGGUUCACUUUCUUGUGUUCAAGAGGUUCUCUUUAUAUUCCUUGGGAAAAAAUGCUGAGAAAAACAGUGCAAUUUGUUUUGACAAAAAAGAAA